CCUGCAGCGGCAGAGGAGGGAAGAGCAAGUGUAGCGUUCAGCGCAGGCGGCGCUGCAGCCGGGGAGGGCUCCCGUGCCGGGCAGGGCAGGGGCACCGGCGGUUCGCUGGUACCGGGGUUACAGGGAUGCUCGGGCACCGGCAGCUCUGUUCUGCGCACCGAACCAGAGCAUUCGGCACGUGGAACUUUCUUACUGGCCGCCUCGGUAUCAGCAGCCACAGAACUCCGACUGGGAGAAGGAAACGCUCACUGUUGCGAAGGAGAAGUUUACCAGCAGUUCCUGACCCAGAGCGCUCUCUAACAGCAGCACGAACGGGGAAGCAAACCGUCAGCCCAUUGCAGGAAGGAUCUACCCACCUGUGUUUGGAACCACUAAACGUCCACCCAGGUGUCCAAAAAGAGCCGCUGUUCUCAGCUCGCUUCUUGUUGAAAUAGAAGACAGGUUCUGGAUGUACGCAGCCUUGUUUCUAGCCUGUAUCGU